rnacentral:rRNA from 1 species
CAUCUCCUACGGGAGGCAGCAGUGGGGAAUAUUGCACAAUGGGAGAAACCCUGAUGCAGCAACGCCGCGUGAAGGAAGACGGUUUUCGGAUUGUAAACUUCUGUUCUUAGUGAAGAAGAAUGACGGUAGCUAAGGAGCAAGCCACGGCUAACUACGUGCCAGCAGCCGCGGUAAUACGUAGGUGGCAAGCGUUGUCCGGAAUGACUGGGUGUAAAGGGAGCGUAGACGGUUGUACAAGUCUGAUGUGAAAGCCCACGGCUCAACUGUGGGAGUGCAUUGGAAACUGUAGAACUAGAGUAUCGGAG